rnacentral:rRNA from 1 species
GAUGAACGCUGGCGGCGUGCCUAAUACAUGCAAGUCGAGCGAACGGACGAGAAGCUUGCUUCUCUGAUGUUAGCGGCGGACGGGUGAGUAACACGUGGAUAACCUACCUAUAAGACUGGGAUAACUUCGGGAAACCGGAGCUAAUACCGGAUAAUAUUUUGAACCGCAUGGUUCAAAAGUGAAAGACGGUCUUGCUGUCACUUAUAGAUGGAUCCGCGCUGCAUUAGCUAGUUGGUAAGGUAACGGCUUACCAAGGCAACGAUGCAUAGCCGACCUGAGAGGGUGAUCGGCCACACUGGAACUGAGACACGGUCCAGACUCCUACGGGAGGCAGCAGCAGGGAAUCUUCCGCAAUGGGCGAAAGCCUGACGGAGCAACGCCGCGUGUGUGAUGAAGGUCUUCGGAUCGUAAAACUCUGUUAUUAGGGAAGAACAUAUGUGUAAGUAACUGUGCACAUCUUGACGGUACCUAAUCAGAAAGCCACGGCUAACUACGUGCCAGCAGCCGCGGUAAUACGUAGGUGGCAAGCGUUAUCCGGAAUUAUUGGGCGUAAAGCGCGCGUAGGCGGUUUUUUAAGUCUGAUGUGAAAGCCCACGGCUCAACCGUGGAGGGUCAUUGGAAACUGGAAAACUUGAGUGCAGAAGAGGAAAGUGGAAUUCCAUGUGUAGCGGUGAAAUGCGCAGAGAUAUGGAGGAACACCAGUGGCGAAGGCGACUUUCUGGCCUGUAACUGACGCUGAUGUGCGAAAGCGUGGGGAUCAAACAGGAUUAGAUACCCUGGUAGUCCACGCCGUAAACGAUGAGUGCUAAGUGUUAGGGGGUUUCCGCCCCUUAGUGCUGCAGCUAACGCAUUAAGCACUCCGCCUGGGGAGUACGACCGCAAGGUUGAAACUCAAAGGAAUUGACGGGGACCCGCACAAGCGGUGGAGCAUGUGGUUUAAUUCGAAGCAACGCGAAGAACCUUACCAAAUCUUGACAUCCUUUGACAACUCUAGAGAUAGAGCCUUCCCCUUCGGGGGACAAAGUGACAGGUGGUGCAUGGUUGUCGUCAGCUCGUGUCGUGAGAUGUUGGGUUAAGUCCCGCAACGAGCGCAACCCUUAAGCUUAGUUGCCAUCAUUAAGUUGGGCACUCUAAGUUGACUGCCGGUGACAAACCGGAGGAAGGUGGGGAUGACGUCAAAUCAUCAUGCCCCUUAUGAUUUGGGCUACACACGUGCUACAAUGGACAAUACAAAGGGCAGCGAAACCGCGAGGUCAAGCAAAUCCCAUAAAGUUGUUCUCAGUUCGGAUUGUAGUCUGCAACUCGACUACAUGAAGCUGGAAUCGCUAGUAAUCGUAGAUCAGCAUGCUACGGUGAAUACGUUCCCGGGUCU